rnacentral:rRNA from 1 species
GGGCGGAAGCCUGAUGCAGCGACGCCGCGUGAGGGAUGACGGCCUUCGGGUUGUAAACCUCUUUCGACCCUGACGAAGCGUGAGUGACGUAGGGGGAGAAGAAGCACCGGCCAACUACGUGCCAGCAGCCGCGGUAAGACGUAGGGUGCGAGCGUUGUCCGGAUUUAUUGGGCGUAAAGAGCUCGUAGGCGGCUCGUCGCGUCGACCGUGAAAACUUGGGGCUUAACCCUAAGCUUGCGGUUGAUACGGGCGGGCUAGAGUUCGGUAGGGGAGACUGGAAUUCCUGGUGUAGCGGUGAAAUGCGCAGAUAUCAGGAGGAACACCGGUGGCGAAGGCGGGUCUCUGGGCCGAUACUGACGCUGAGGAGCGAAAGCGUGGGGAGCGAACAGGAUUAGAUACCCUGGUAGUCCACGCUGUAAACGUUGGGCGCUAGGUGUGGGGGGCCUCUCCGGUUCUCUGUGCCGCAGCUAACGCAUUAAGCGCCCCGCCUGGGGAGUACGGCCGCAAGGCUA